CCUGAAAGGAAGAUAUUAACUCUUUCAAGUCACAGAUGAAAUCAUUCUUUCAUUGAACAGACAUUUUUGUGGGCACCCACUCUAAGCUAUUCACUAUUCUGAGUAGAUAAAAAUAAUAAAAGUUAGUCCCUGAGGCAAUGCAUAUGAAAUAGACAUAAGCAAAAUAAGAAAUUAUGGUAAUAUAUGCUCUUACAGUAAUAAUGAAAAAAUUCACAAAAUAUUCCCUUAACUGUUUUGGAAUGGGGCAGUCUAUUAUUUUUUUGUAGUCUAGUUCUCGCUAAAAUAUUAUUACAACAGAGAGAGGAAUCUUUUUCAAGUCAAAUAGAAAGACCAGUUUUACAAAUAUGCAUGGGCAAACUGUCAACUCGCAAACCCAGCUAAGAAAAAGAAUAUGCAUUUACAGAAGUCAGAGAAGAACAACAAAUUUAAGUUUCACGUGUCACGGUUUCAAUUACCUUGUGUCAAAGGGCGGAAGCAGAUGAUCGGGGGAAGAAUCUACGAAUCUGCGGAAGGUCAAUAGUAGCCUAGUUUGGACAUGAUGCCCGAGUCAUCCUCUCCGUUUCAUCUCCUCACAUGGUCAUUUUUCCAUCUCAGGUCAUCACAAGAAGGAGAGAGAGACAGUGAGAGAAGGAACAUAAGCAGAGGAGUGGGAAAGGGAGAAGAAGGCUCUCUGCCAAGCAGGGGGCCCAAUGUGGGGCUCAAUGCCAGGACCCUGGGAUCAUGACCUGAGCCGAAGGCAGCCGCUUAAUCAACUGAGCCAGCCAGGUGCCCCAACACAUGCUUGUCAUCCUUGUCUAUUCUUCUCAUUCUGAUAUUUUUGUGGAGUUUGGUCGUACAGUAAACUUGAACAUGUUUUUAUGUACUUACUAGCCAUUUCACUUUCCUCUUCUUUGUAAUGCCUGUUACUGUUUUGGGCUCAAUUUUCUCCUGUGUUGUCUUGUCUUUUUAAAUGGAUUUGUGUGAGUUCUUAAAUAUCCUGGGCAAUUGUAUAAACUGUUAUAUAAGCCCUUGACAGUUGCAGAAACUGCAAAUAUCAUUUCCUGGUAACCUUUUCAGACCCAAUAAUGGUGUCUUUUAAUGAAAAGAGGUUCUUAAUUUUAAAGCAGUCCAACAUAUCCAUUUUUUAUUGCUACUGCUUUUUGUGUUCUGUGUAAGAAAUAUUUGCCUAUCCCCAAAUAAUAAAGAUAUUAUCCCCUGGGUUUUCCCCUCUUCUUUUUGCUUCAUUUAUUUACUGUUCACAUUUGCCUUGAAUACACCUCAGUUUAAUUUUUGCAUAGUGCAUGAAGUAAAGAGGCAAGCUCUUUUUUAUUUUUCAUAGAUUUGCAAUUACUGCAGAGCAAUUUAUUGAAAAUCAAUUCAUUUCUCCAUGAAUUGCUGUGGUGCUUUUGCCACUUAGUUCAAUCAUUCCAUUUACCUAUCCUUGCAACAAUGCUAUAGUAUUAAUUAUUGUGGCAUUAUAACAAGUUGUGAAAUAUGAUAGUCUAAGUCCUCCAAGUUUGUUUUUAUCUAAGAUUGUCUUGGCUUUUCAAGCUUCUUUGAAUUUCUAUGUGACUCUUAGAAAUAUCUUGUCAGUUUACAUACUCACAAAUACAUGUCUUCUUGAAUUUUUGGUUGGAAUUACAUUGAAACCAGAAGUUAAUUAGGGGAGAACUGAUAUUUUUAAAAAUAUUGAAGCUGCCAAGCCAUAAAUAUGGUCAAUGUUAUUUUAUUUACUUGAUUUUUUCUUAAUAAGUUUUUGAAAUUUUUAUUGUAGAGGCAUUGCACAUUUUUUAUUAGAUUUCGUUUUAGGUAUUUGAUGAUCUUGAUGCUAUUGCAAAUGACAGUGAUUUAAAAUUUUAUUUUCCUUAGAGGGGGCUUGGCUGGCUUAGUCAGAAGAACAUGUGACUCUUGAUCUCAGAUUCGUGAAUUCAAUCCCCAUUUUGGGCACGGGGCUCACAUAAAAAAGUAAAAUAAAUCUUUCAAAAAAUAAAAAAAAAUAAAUUUUACUUUCCACUUAUUCAUUGCUAAUAUGUAGAAAAAGAUAAUUUUUUAAAAAAGAUUUUAUUUAUUUAUUUGACAGAGAGAAAGACUCAGCAAGAGAAGGAACACAAGCAGGGGGAGUGAGAGAGGGAGAAACGGUGAUCAGGGAGUCCAAUGCAGGGCUUGAUCUCAGGACCUUGGGAUCAUGACCUGAGCCAAAGGCAGACACUUAAAGACUGAGCCACCCAGGUACCCCCCCCAAAAAAAACCAAUUUUAUAUAUUAACCUUGUUAAUAACUUUGUUAUUGAUCCUGUUAAUCCUACAGUUUUGUCAACAUCAUUUAUUAUUUCCAAUAGUUUUCCUGGCUUUUAAAAAAUAUACACAAUGUCAUAAACAAAUAAAGUUUUGCUUCCUUCUCUCUGAUAUUUUUAUCCUUUAUUUUUUUUACUUGUCUUAUACCACAGGCUAAGACCUCUG